CUUGGUUCAGGAUGAACGCUGGCGGCGUGCCUAACACAUGCAAGUCGAACGGAGAAUAUACGCUUCAGAAGCUCGGCAGAUGAUUGUAUAUUCUUAGUGGCGGACGGGUGAGUAACGCGUGGGCAACCUGCCUCAUACUGGGGGAUAACAGCUGGAAACGACUGUUAAUACCGCAUAAGCGCACAGUGUCGCAUGACACAGUGUGAAAAACUCCGGUGGUAUGAGAUGGGCCCGCGUCAGAUUAGCCAGUUGGCGGGGUAACGGCCCACCAAAGCGACGAUCUGUAGCCGGCCUGAGAGGGCGGACGGCCACAUUGGGACUGAGACACGGCCCAAACUCCUACGGGAGGCAGCAGUGGGGGAUAUUGCACAAUGGAGGAAACUCUGAUGCAGCCGACGCCGCGUGAGUGAAGAAGUAUUUCGGUAUGUAAAGCUCUAUCAGCAGGAAAGAAAAUGACGGUACCUGACUAAGAAGCCCCGGCUAACUACGUGCCAGCAGCAGC
rnacentral:rRNA from 1 species